rnacentral:rRNA from 1 species
GAUGAACGCUAGCUACCGUCUUAACACAUGCAAGUCGAGGGGCAGCAUGGUCUUAGCUUGCUAAGGCCGAUGGCGACCGGCGCACGGGUGAGUAACACGUAUCCAACCUGCCGUCUACUCUUGGACAGCCUUCUGAAAGGAAGAUUAAUACAAGAUGGCAUCAUGAGUCCGCAUGUUCACAUGAUUAAAGGUAUUCCGGUAGACGAUGGGGAUGCGUUCCAUUAGAUAGUAGGCGGGGUAACGGCCCACCUAGUCUUCGAUGGAUAGGGGUUCUGAGAGGAAGGUCCCCCACAUUGGAACUGAGACACGGUCCAAACUCCUACGGGAGGCAGCAGUGAGGAAUAUUGGUCAAUGGGCGAGAGCCUGAACCAGCCAAGUAGCGUGAAGGAUGACUGCCCUAUGGGUUGUAAACUUCUUUUAUAAAGGAAUAAAGUCGGGUAUGCAUACCCGUUUGCAUGUACUUUAUGAAUAAGGAUCGGCUAACUCCGUGCCAGCAGCCGCGGUAAUACGGAGGAUCCGAGCGUUAUCCGGAUUUAUUGGGUUUAAAGGGAGCGUAGAUGGAUGUUUAAGUCAGUUGUGAAAGUUUGCGGCUCAACCGUAAAAUUGCAGUUGAUACUGGAUAUCUUGAGUGCAGUUGAGGCAGGCGGAAUUCGUGGUGUAGCGGUGAAAUGCUUAGAUAUCACGAAGAACUCCGAUUGCGAAGGCAGCCUGCUAAGCUGCAACUGACAUUGAGGCUCGAAAGUGUGGGUAUCANACAGG